GGUCAUUGUCUCUGCUGCUUCCCACUGCAGCUUUAUAUAAUAAAACAAGCCGCGUCAAAUAGGCUAGGCUGUAAUAUUAGGUAAAAUCUAAUUUCAGUUUGGUUAUCACAUAGCGUUCAUUUCCCUAAGGGAGGAGAAAAAAUUAAAUUUGUAAGCUUAAGAUUCCAGCUGAAGUACUCAAGAAUCCUGUUUCUCUGACAGAGGAAAGGAACAACUUGACUGGACACAUCCUAACCCAACCAUACGCUGUGUUACUUCCUCCACUGUGCCACACACAGCUAUUAUUCUAAGCUUUCUUAUUCAAACCCUUAAGGAUUUGUAAGCUUUUUCUGCUUUCUAUUUUCUCUGAAAGAGCCGUGAAUGAUGAGACGACAAAAUAUUGGAUUAUUUGUGCUCUUGAAACAGAUGCCACCUGAGUUGUGACAGGUAUUUUAAGUAUAAUCUUCUGCAUUCACUUAACACUCUCAUUUGAAAAUUUUCAAACCUUGGGCAUAUUCUUGUUCAUUUACCACUGAAAUGAGUCACCUCUUGGGUGUGAAGAGAAAGCUAGGAAUAAAAUGGGAACAAGGAAUGCAGGUGUAAGGGAACAGUAACAGAGAAAUCGGAAGUAUCUUGCAAAGUUUAACUGGCUCCAAAUGCAGAUGUAGAACAACCAGGGAGAGUGGGAUAGUUUGAUUUUUUUUUUCCUGAAAGAGCACCCUACAUUAACAUCAAUAAAC
rnacentral:lncRNA from 1 species